CAGACUCGAAUGUAAGGUCUUGUGUCUGCAGGGCAUAGUUUAAUUGGGUCUGCUAGAAGAAAAGCAUGCUUAUUUUUGUGAGUGCCUGUGUUAAAAUAAGGAGUCUGAAGAAAGAAAAGAAAAUGUAGUUCACAGGCUGUGAAUUAUAAAUUUAUAGAAACAGAACAUGGAAGAGAAAUCUGGCUUGCUGCUGUUCAUGUGUCUGAUCAAAUGGCAUACAUUUGUGAUAGUGGUCCAUGGACAAUGGAGGAUGUCGCAUAGAAUCCAGGAGAACUGAAAAAAAUGACAUUGUUAAUGUUCAGAAGACUCAGAAACUGCAUGAUUUCAGGGGCGUGAGCCUGUGAGUCCAUGGGUCCCCCCAUCCCAUUAGUCAUGGAACCGGGCCGAACAAGCACGUAAAUCACUGACAGAGGUGAAUCUUUUUCUACCUCCUGAGUCAUGCCUCCCCUAGUCAGCAAGAGGGUCUCUGCCAUGAUGGAGUCAUCCAAGACUCAGAGGAAUAAUACACAUCAAUUUAUUGAGAGCUUUCUUCGCAACAACUAAUACUGGAGGCCUUGCAAAUUUAAGUCAGCAGAUGAAAGGAAGCAGGGAGAUGCCAGCUUGUAUCCUUCCUGGUUACAUCUCUCAGUCACCUCUAUCAACCUGGUUUCAUUUCCUCCCAGGCCACAUCUUCAGCCAAUUAAUACUCCUGGGUCCUCUCAUUCAAAUGCAAACAACUCCCAAGAAAUGCUUUCAAAUGUGAAACUGUCCACAAAGUGAUGUUGAUUGACUCUUGUUGAUUUGAAACAGUCCUUACCAAACUCAGGCACACUGUUGACAUGAUAUGUAUACCUUACACGAUAUAUUUAUCUUACAGACUGCCAUAGAAACUGUCCAAAUUUACCUUGUGGUUGCUGUAUCUGAACUUGAGAAAAAUCAAUGACUUCUUCAAACAAUGCUCCUGUAUAAGACUUAAUACCUACUGUGUUUACAAUAUUUGUUAUAGUGUUGUAACUAAGCUCCUAAAAUAUUCAGUCAUAGAAAAGCUUAAGUGAAAGCUCUGCGUGUCUUCUAAUUCAUCCUCUCACUCAGUACAUCCUGUCACUUCAUGCUCUUCCUCAGCAUAGGACAAGAUUAAAUGGGACUGCUUAGGAGUUUGUCCAGAAUGGCCAUUCCAUGUAAUUUUUGAACAAUGUGUUCCAGUACCUCAGUCCUAUCCUGGAGAAGAUUUUGGUUUUUUUCAUGUCUAAUUACAAUUUUCUUUUCUGAACAUUCUGACCACUACCCCUUCUCUUUACAUGUCUCUCAGAAGAGAAAGCUAGAAUGUACCAUUUAAUAGUAGAAUCAGUAGUUUAGGUCCCUUCUUCUUAAGAUAAAAAGAACCAAACAAUUCCUUCAGAUUCCCUCAGAACAAUAUAAAUUUAAUGGCUUUCUUUUAGAUUCUUUCAAGCCUUCCAGCAUCUUGUACAGAGGAUGUGUCCAAAAGUGACAACAGUUUUCUAGAUGCACCCUCACAAAUGCUUAGUGCAAUAGCAUCAUCACUUCUGUCAGUUUAUGGGUCUCAUUGUUAAUAUAGACCAGCAGAUGUCCUAUCCUCAUACUACAAGGAUACACUCCUCAUUUGUUUAAAAAGGGUGAACAUUCCUCAUGCUCAGUUUUAUUGUUAUCGAAUCCAGUUUUCAGAAAGCACAUAAUUUAUAUUUCAAAGUUAAACUCCCUUUUUUCUACUCAAGCUAAAGCAUACCCACCAACUGAAACACAGAAGUUACUAAUCCCUUCAGGAUAUUUUGGCCUGGGUGCUUGAAAAUUAGUGUACAAGGAUUGAAGACAUUGUUAAUAUUGCUGAUGUUCUUGUAUCUACCUCCUCUUUUACAGUCUAUGAAUGCUACAUUUCAUUCAUCAGAUAGAUAUGCCCUGACCUUAGUCUUCAGUUCCCUCAUAACUUUACACUGCUUUGGGGGUCUGUUUCAUGAGCAACUUUGCAGACAGAAAGCUCCAUUCUUAUGACUAACUAUAAUUCUUGGUUAGGAAUCUUAGAUGAACAUUUCUGUCGAAAUAUUUUUUCCCGCAGACUUGUUAGGGAACUGUUAAACCCCUUCUGAAUGAUAGUGGCUGUCUUUGAAAACACUCUUAAUGAAUCUUCUGCUUUGAAGCUCUGAGCUCCGGCGGAGGUCAGAUGGUUGUAAUCAGCAGCACAGAGCCCAGCUGGAAGCCUGUUGCUAGUAAUGCUCCCCAGAGGUUUCUGGUACUGGGUCAAAUCUUGUUUGUAUUCACCAGCAACCUGCAUGAAGGAAUAGAGUGCAACCUCAGCAAAUGUGCUGAGGACUCAAAGCUGGGAGGAGUAGAUAGCACACCAGAAGUCUUUCCUGCCCUUUGGUGAAACCUGGACAGACUGGAGAGUUUGGUGAAGAGGAACCUGGUGGGGUUCAACAAGGGCAAGCAUAGAGUCCUGCACCUGUAGAGGAAUAACCUUAUGCAUCACAACGGUAUAGGGGCUGACUCACUGGAAGGAAGCUCUGUGGAGAAGGAAAUAGGUAUCCUGAUGGACAACAGAUUGACCAUGAGCCAGUAGUGUGCCCUGGUGGCCAAGAAGGUCAAUGGUAUCCUGGAGUGUGUUAAAAGGAGUGUGAUCAGAAGGUCAAGGGAGGUUAUGCCCCCCCCCCCCCCUACUCUGUCUUGUUGAGGCCACAUCUGGAGUACUGUGUCCAGAUCUGGGCUCCUCUGUUCAAGAAGGACUGGGAAGUACUGGGGAGAAUCCAUCAAAGAACUGCAAAGAUGAUCAGAGGCCUGGAGUAACUCCCUCUCUUAUGAGAAAAGACUGAGUCUUAGGACAGUUCGCCUGGAGAAGAUGAGAUCUUAUCAGUGCUCAUAAAUAUCUAAAGGAAAAGUGUCAAGUGAAUGAGGCCAGGGUCCUUUUGGUAACACCCAGUGAAAGAACAAGGAGGAACCUGCACACGCUGGAACGUGGGAAAUUCCAUCUGAACAAUAGAACCUGCUAUAGUAGACUAGAUGAUUUCAGAUGUCCCUUAUAUAACCCCUAUGAUUUUCUAAUUCUUAGGUUCUAUGAUUUUAUGAUCUACCAUAUCUGUUGACCACUGAGCUUAAUAUAAUUACUCUUUUAUUUUCAAGUAGUCCCAGUCUUAAGUGAGUAGAUUUGGCCUUAGUCUCUUUUCAAUCACAGGGGAAUUUAGGUGAGAACAAAACAUGGUGUAUGGAGAUUCUUCCUUAAAUCUUCCAAUUUCCUUGUAUACCGUGACCUAGCAUAUUUACAUGACAUUCAAGCUUCCUUUAGAAGGCUUUUUCUUUCCAUGUUUGAUUCUUCUCAUUAAGAUGAUAGUGCCUGAUUCAUCAUCUCUAUAAUCAUGUUAUCAUCCAUUCUAACCUGAUAACCAUGCUUCCAGCUGUGUUUCCACUUCUGAAAUUAUAUGCUUGGCAUUUCAUGGGAAUUGACUAUGUCCAAAAAUUAAAGCAAAUAGCUCUGUUACUGAAACCAUUCUAAAUGACAGUGCCAUUGUAUUCCAAACAACUUUAGUUCUGAGGGACAGGAACACUCAUACAUUGGUAGUGGCUCCAUAAUUAUCAUUGUUUUUAUUUGGUGAUGAUAAUCUAGGAUGAAGAUGCAUUCUGUGUUAGGAUCAGCCCCUGAAAUGAUGGAGGAAAUAAGUUUUUUUCAGCAAUGAUUUGUGUAAGUGGCUAGAUACUUGGUACCUUACUGGAUGGAUCUUUUAAUAAGGAACAUAAACCAUAUCCCCUCCAUUUCAGCCUUAUGAGGAUACCUAAAAGUAUUUCUACAAAAAUCCAUUUGGAAGACCUGGAAAAAUAAAUCUGUUUUCCCUGCUUCUGGGGUUUGUAGAAUAGUAGAAAUCAGACUUACAGCAGUUAAAUCCAGAUGCAGUGUAUGAACUUCUGCUUUCUUCUCCACCAUCAAUUGCCUGUAUUAGCUACUACCCACUGGUCUUUGGACUUCUAGCAUAUUCCUUCCUUCAUUCAGUAGUUGUUGAAUUCAAUUUUGACAUCCACAUUUUUGCCAUUAGGAAUUUGCUGCAGAAACUCUUUGUCUUGUAUCAUGAAAAACACCUUCUCUAAGGUGGUUCUCUAAUGUUUCCUUCUCUAAAACCUCGGGAGCUCUAAGGUUCAAGUUUAAUCAUGAUGUAGAAGAAAAAUUAUAUCUUUGUCAAUUUUUUGUUUAGAAUCUGUCUACAUAAAAAUCUUAUUUACCUAUGUGCACUUUCUGCAUCAGCCACAAGAUGGAAGUAUUGACCUUUGAAGCUCUU